GCGGAAGUGGCGGAACUGGCAGACGCGCACGCUUGAGGGGCGUGUGGUUUAACCGUGCGGGUUCAAUUCCCGCCUUCCGCACCA
rnacentral:tRNA from 1 species